GGGUACGUAGCUCAGCCGGCUAGAGCAGCGGUCUGUGGAACCGCGGGCCACGGGUUCGAAUCCCGUCGUACCCA
rnacentral:tRNA from 1 species